AAUAUUGGACAAUGGGGGGAACCCUGAUCCAGCCACGCCGCGUGUGUGAAGAAGGCGUUUUGGUUGUAAUGCUCUUUAAGCGAGGAGGAGGAGCUCUUGGUUAAUACCCAAGAUGCUUGGACGUUACUCGCAUAAUAAGCACCGGCUAACUCUGUGCCAGCAGCCGCGGUAAUACAGAGGGUGCAAGCGUUAAUCGGAUUUAAUGGGAGUAAGGCGCGCGUAGGUGGCCAAUUAAGUAAAAUGUAAAAUGCCCGAGCUUAACUUGAGAAUUGCAUUCGAUACUGGUUGGCUAGAGUAUGGGAGAGGAUGGUAGAAUUCCAGGUGUAGCGGUAAAAUGCGAAGAGAUCUGGAGGAAUACCAAUGGCGAAGGCAGCCAUCUGGCCUAAUACUGACACUGAGGUGCGAAAGCAUGGGGAGGAAACAG
rnacentral:rRNA from 1 species